rnacentral:rRNA from 1 species
GGAAGUAAAAGUCGUAACAAGGUUUCCGUAGGUGAACCUGCGGAUGGAUCAUUAACGCAUUUGCAUAAUAUCACUUUGUGGGUAAAACACCAAGUAUCGUUUUGUAUAUAUGAAUAUAAUGUACCAGUUACAUAUAUAACGAAUGUGUUGAAAAACACAAUAUAUUUGAACGAGCAUUCUUGUUAAUACGAGUAGACAUUUAAACAUCGUCAUAUGUUGCAUAUGUCUUUACUUAUAUUGCAGUAUGUCGGAAGCUAUUAACACUUGAUGAAUAGUCCAUUUGUGGUAACCCUAGUGUGCCAUUACAUUAGUGAACCACAUAAGGGGGGGUGCAAUCAAUGGUACAACUGCCUGAGGGUUUUAAAUGAAUAUGCGCCACAAACAUGUGUUAACCUUGUAUUUUCGGUGAGUAUCUUGAUACGAUGCGUCCAUACGAUGUGCAUUUGAAUGUAAAUAUAUAGCACAAAUAAAAUUGAGCUCCAUUCUGCCGUAAGACGUAGAUUCUUUCUACCUAUGCGUAGAAAAGUUUUUCAUGUUCUGUGUACGGUUGGUGUGUGUCAUGACGUACAUCUAUGAAAGUGAUCGACUACUUGAGUGUACUAGGUCGUCACUUUCAGUGUGCUAUCAUUCACAUAUCGUGCCUUGUAUGUUAUGACGUUUAUCGUCGUAGCUCAAGAAAUUUUGUGACAAAGUAAUAAUAUACAUUGAAAAAUAUAUAUAUGAUUACCCUGAAUGGUGGAUCACUUGGCUCGUGGGUCGAUGAAGAACGCAGCUAAUUGCGCGUCAACUUGUGAACUGCAGGACACAUGAACAUCGACAUUUUGAACGCAUAUUGCGGUCCACGGAUUUAAUUCCCGGACCACACCUGGCUGAGGGUCGUUUAUAAUAUAAAGACUGCUUACAGGUCAUGUUUUUUGAAUGUAUUUGAACAUGACUGGCUCAAGCGUGUUAUAUGAAUAUACUGGUCGAUUCGUUUUAUUCGGGUACAUUUUGAAUAUAUAGACCGUUACUCGAAUUUAAACGUCGAUUGAAAUGAAGUUUUUUUGUGUUACAAUGAAUUAUUCAUCUGGCCAAAGCUUAAAAAUCUUCUCAAUGGCAGCAAUGUUGAAUGUAAAUUCAGCAAAAAUGUGAAGACUAUGAUGUGGAAUGUAAGCCGUAUAGUUUGCAGCCAAAUCGUGUUGUCAAUCAUUACAGCAAUUGAUUAUAUAACAUGCGUACCAAUGUGAAGAUGAUAUUUGGAUGAUAUGUAAUAUAAACAUAUUGCCGAUCAUCGAGUCCCUGAGCUCCUCUAUAUAUAUAGAAGUACAGGAGGACAGAUUUUGAUUGCGUGCAUUAUGGGAUAUUUGUAUUAUGUGGAAUUUAAGAAACGUCUUCGCAUGGAUAAUGAUUGUUUACACCGAUGAGUAGGCAAAAAUAUUGUUCGUUACGUUCAUUGCUAUUUUUCAAGUAAGAGUAUGCAUUUACGUUCAGCAAUCAUGGUAUUUCUUUUUUGUUAUUUGUAUUGCCAAAGAUUCGAUUAUAUAUUUUGAAAUUAUAACUGACGACCUCAGAGUAGGUGAGACUACCCGCUGAAUUUAAGCAUAUCAAUAAGCGGAGA